AGUAACGCGUGGGCAACCUGCCCCCAUAGAGGGGGACAACAGCUGGAAACGGCUGCUAAUACCGCAUAACAAGGAGAGAGCGCAUGUUCUUUUCUUCAAAGAUUUAUCGCUAUGGGAUGGACCCGCGUCUGAUUAGCUGGUUGGUGAGGUAACGGCUCACCAAGGCGACGAUCAGUAGCCGGCUUGAGAGAGUGGACGGCCACAUUGGGACUGAGACACGGCCCAGACUCCUACGGAAGGCAGCAG
rnacentral:rRNA from 1 species